rfam:Gossypium arboreum cultivar AKA8401 contig_3342_11, whole genome shotgun sequence.
CGUAGGAGGAUGAUAAAUCAGAUUUUUCCUCUUGAUUUUCAGCAUUUUUCUCUGAAAAAAAUUCAAAUUCAACUGAAAAUGCUAAAAAUCAGGAAGAAAAAUCUGAUUUGUCAUUCUCCUAUU